CAUAUCAAGUUGAAACACCGUUUCUCGUAAGAUCACCAAAGUUAAGCAACGUCAAGCUUGAUCAGUACCUGGAUAGGUGACCGCUUCGGAAUACUAAGUGCUGUAA